rnacentral:rRNA from 1 species
UAGGGAAUCUUCCACAAUGGGCGCAAGCCUGAUGGAGCAACACCGCGUGAGUGAAGAAGGGUUUCGGCUCGUAAAGCUCUGUUGUUAAAGAAGAACACGUAUGAGAGUAACUGUUCAUACGUUGACGGUAUUUAACCAGAAAGCCACGGCUAAAUACGUGCCAA